GAACGCACAUUGCGCCCGCCAGUAUUCUGGCGGGCAUGCCUGUUCGAGCGUCAUUUCAACCCUCAGGCCCCGCCUGGCGUUGGGGAUCGGCGCGGCCCUCUCCGGGCUGCCGGCCCCGAAAACUAGUGGCGGUCUCGCUGUAGUCCUCCUCUGCGCAGUAGCAACGCUCGCACUGGAACUCGGCGCGGCCACGCCGUAAAACACCCCACUUCUGAAAGUUGACCUCGGAUCAGGUAGGAAUACCCGCUGAACUUAAG
rnacentral:misc_RNA from 1 species